AGUGAACGCUGGCGGUAGGCCUAACACAUGCAAGUCGAACGGCAGCACAGUAAGAGCUUGCUCUUACAGGUGGCGAGUGGCGGACGGGUGAGGAAUACAUCGGAAUCUACUUUUUCGUGGGGGAUAACGUAGGGAAACUUACGCUAAUACCGCAUACGACCUACGGGUGAAAGCAGGGGAUCUUCGGACCUUGCGCGAUUGAAUGAGCCGAUGUCGGAUUAGCUAGUUGGCGGGGUAAAGGCCCACCAAGGCGACGAUCCGUAGCUGGUCUGAGAGGAUGAUCAGCCACACUGGAACUGAGACACGGUCCAGACUCCUACGGGAGGCAGCAGUGGGGAAUAUUGGACAAUGGGCGCAAGCCUGAUCCAGCCAUACCGCGUGGGUGAAGAAGGCCUUCGGGUUGUAAAGCCCUUUUGUUGGGAAAGAAAAGCAGCAGGUUAAUACCCCGCUGUUCUGACGGUACCCAAAGAAUAAGCACUGGCUAACUUCGUG
rnacentral:rRNA from 1 species